rnacentral:rRNA from 1 species
GACGAACGCUGGCGGCGUGCCUAAUACAUGCAAGUCGAGCGAAUCAAUAGGAGCUUGCUCCUGUUGGUUAGCGGCGGACGGGUGAGUAACACGUGGGCAGCCUGCCUGUAAGACUGGGAUAACACCGGGAAACCGGUGCUAAUACCGGAUAAUCCUUUUCCUCUCAUGAGGAAAAGCUGAAAGUCGGUUUCGGCUGACACUUACAGAUGGGCCCGCGGCGCAUUAGCUAGUUGGUGAGGUAACGGCUCACCAAAGCUACGAUGCGUAGCCGACCUGAGAGAGUGAUCGGCCACACUGGGAAUGAGACACGGCCCAGACUCCUACGGGAGGCAGCAGUAGGGGAUCUUCCGCGAUGGACGAAAGUCUGAUGGAGCAACGCCGCGUGAGCGAUGAAGGCCUUCGGGUCGUAAAGCUCUGUUGUUAGGGAAGAACAAGUACCGGAGUAACUGCCGGUACCUUGACGGUACCUAACCAGAAAGCCACGGCUAACUACGUGCCAGCAGCCGCGGUAACAC